GUGAGGAAUAUUGGUCAAUGGGCGGAAGCCUGAACCAGCCAAGUCGCGUGAGGGAAGACGGCCCUACGGGUUGUAAACCUCUUUUGCCGGGGAGCAAUGCCCAGCUCGCGAGCUGGGAAGGAGAGUACCCGGAGAAAAAGCAUCGGCUAACUCCGUGCCAGCAGCCGCGGUAAUACGGAGGAUGCGAGCGUUAUCCGGAUUUAUUGGGUUUAAAGGGUGCGUAGGCGGUCUGUUAAGUCAGCGGUCAAAUGUCGGCGCUCAACGCCGGCCUGCCGUUGAAACUGGCGGACUUGAGUGGGCGAGAAGUAUGCGGAAUGCGUGGUGUAGCGGUGAAAUGCAUAGAUAUCACGCAGAACCCCGAUUGCGAAGGCAGCAUACCGGCGCCCAACUGACGCUGAGGCACGAAAGCGUGGGUAUCGAACAGG
rnacentral:rRNA from 1 species